GCAUCAGUGGCAAUGCUGGCAAAUGCGCAAGAAUAUCGAGGAUUACCAGGGUUGCCAGUACAGAAUAAUCGCGGAAAACCGAGACAUAUCCGUGGGUCGUCGGUUCAAGCCCGACUUGGGGCA
rnacentral:tRNA from 1 species